GAUCCUGGCUCAGGAUGAACGCUAGCUACAGGCUUAACACAUGCAAGUCGAGGGGCAGCAUGGUCUUAGCUUGCUAAGGCUGAUGGUCGACCGGCGCACGGGUGAGUAACACGUAUCCAACCUGCCGUCUACUCUUGGCCAGCCUUCUGAAAGGAAGAUUAAUCCAGGAUGGGAUCAUGAGUUCACGUGUCCGCAUGAUUAAAGGUAUUUUCCGGUAGACGAUGGGGAUGCG
rnacentral:rRNA from 1 species